GUUCUGCUGCCUUACUCCCAGCGAUGAGUGGCUGAAUCGAUUUCAACAAAAUCGCUAAUAUCGUACUCCCACCGCACAUUUUUGCGGCUCAUUGUGUUAUGACGUCACGCAAACCGUUCAGUGAAAAUUAUAGCGUUACUAAGCUAGAAAUUCGCACCACGAGCUCAUCAUGAGCUCAUCACACAGAGUAGAUUAUAUGUCAAAGUUGCGACUCAACGCCUCUUUGAAAAAAGUUCCUAUUCUUGCAACGCAAAGCCAUUACAAUGGCUAAUUUUUCCUAUUUUUGUAAGAAAAAGAGCCUGUAAUUACACCUACAAAGUGAUGUGAAAGUAGUUACUGAGGAUACGUGAGGAUUGCAAACCAGUCUCCCUGGAUAUUUUAAAGCAUAUUUAAAGGAGUUGACGGACAAUUUGAUUGAAGACUUUAGCUUAAUGAAACUAGCUGAUUUGAGCGUAACAAAUAAGGUGAGUAUCCACGAACAUAAUAGAGGUACAUGUAAAAGUUUCUUCAACUAAAGGCGAUGAUCCAUUCGCGAGCAAAACCUCCAAUAACCUCUAAGUCCGCGGUCUAAAAACCUCCAACGAUGUUACAAAAAGCACGCCACGACUUUGCCAAUGAUGAAAGUAGACUGUUUGGUUCGCUAAUGGAUCACCAACGAGAUUCGACAAGCCAACAAUCUAUACCGUCGCCUCGCCAAUGGAUGACCGCCUUAACUCUCAUGUUCUUAAGGCAUGAAGAAGAAGCCUUAAAGAAAAUAUCCUUCAAAACAAAGACAAACCUUCUUUUACCAUUGUUGUAGUCCUAUGGCACCCCAGAGGUGUCAUAAAAUCUGCCACCUAUCUUUGUUUAAACCACCUAUGUUUGGUCUCGCUCCAGCUAAGUCCAGUGGCUAACAAUAUAUACCUACUAAUAAUAAUAAGAUAAACCUUCCUAUACUAUCAUAAUGUCUGUAACCUAAACCCCAUGAUACCUACUAACCAGAAUUUUUGGUAUUUGUAGGUUUUUACUGCGUUGCAACUGGCUCCAGACUGGAAUUUAUAACCAAGACUAAAUAUUCAAGUGCCUAUGUGAAGUACUUAACAACAAGUUGUAUUAAGAUCUUAUGAAGUUAAUACCUACAUAAGAAACUAAAUUGGCAUAUCAUUCUGCUACUGAAUAAUCAGAGAGCAGUUUUUUAGCUAAUAGAAGAGAAGCUUAUGCUUGAUAUUUCAGAACACUGAUAAUAAUUGUGAUGUGAUUUAAUAUAUGAUACUUAAUAAACACAAAAUACAGCAAAAACCAUGUUUCAUUUCAUUAUUUACCUGUUGAUGUUGCACUUGACUAAGAGGUCAUUCAUGAUACUAUUGCUUUAUAAAGGCUUGAUAGGAAGUAUUCCUUCUUAAGAGUCCGGCAAUGAUAACAUUGCAACAUGGAAGAAAUUGUAUAAGUAACAUUGUAAGUUGUACUUUUAAUA